rnacentral:rRNA from 1 species
UACGUAGGGGGCAAGCGUUGUCCGGAUUUAUUGGGCGUAAAGAGCGUGUAGGCGGCCAUUCAGGUCAGCUGUGAAAACUCGAGGCUCAACCUCGAGACGUCGGUUGAAACCGUUUGGCUAGAGUCCGGAAGGAGGAGAGGUGAAUUCCCGGUGUAGCGGUGAAAUGCGCAGAUAUCGGGAAGAACACCCGUGGCGAAGGCGGCUCUCUGGGACGGUACUGACGCUGAGACGCGAAAGCGUGGGGAGCGAACAGG